UACGGAGGGUGCGAGCGUUGUCCGGAAUCAUUGGGCGUAAAGGGCGCGUAGGUGGCCCGGUCAGUUCGUGGUGAAAGCGCGGGGCUCAACCCUGCGUCGGCCAUGAAUACUGCCGCGGCUGGAGCACUGUAGAGGCAGGCGGAAUUCCGGGUGUAGCGGUGGAAUGCGUAGAGGUCCGGAAGAACACCGGUGGCGAAGGCGGCCUGCCGGGCAGUUGCUGACACUGAGGCGCGACAGCGUGGGGAGCAAACAGG
rnacentral:rRNA from 1 species